AGGUGCCUCCUAUAAUUGGCAGCAUUGGUAUGGGGAGCUCAGCUUCUCGACAAAGUGUUUCUGUAGCUCCAACACCUAGCACUUCAAGUGGGACAGCUAGUCUUAACAUGGCUAAAGCAUUGUCGCAAGCACCGCCCAGUGCUCGUUCUACCAUGCAGAUCCCUGAUAAGACACAGAGGCUUGAGGAAUUAUCUAUAAAGCAAUCCAGACAGUUGAUACCUGUAAUACCUUCAAUGCCUAAAGUUUUGGUACCCAGUUCUGCUGAUAAAUCAAAGCAACCAAAAUCCAUAGCUAGGACAAAUGAGAUUGUUGGAAUAGCUAAGAGUAUGCAACAACCUUCUUCCUCUCAACUUGCUAAUCAGGCUCGUAAUGGACAAGAGAGAGCUGCG
rnacentral:misc_RNA from 1 species